AUACUUACCUGAACGGGGUCCAUGGGCGAUCAACAAUGUCAAUGGCCUAGGUUGGUGACCUCCAUUGCACUUUCGAGGAGUGCCAGCCUAAGGUCGGUGUCACGACCCGAAUCGGGGCCCUGGCCUUGAC
rnacentral:snRNA from 10 species